rnacentral:lncRNA from 1 species
GCUACCGCUCUCCCACUGCCCUUCAAAUGCACCAGCCUUCUUAAAUAUCUUUGGGCUACUCUUUCCUUUUAGGAGGUCCCUUCGUAUUUGUAUCCCUGAUGACGUCCUACUCAGGUUGCAAACCAAUCCCCAAUACUACAUUUGUGACACAUUCCUGAAUUCUCUCUCCAAAACUAGUAUUUCUAUGCUCUGUAUAGUGAAGUUCAGAUUUCAAAAUAUAACACGAGGUCCAAUUGUCAAAUUUUUACUACUCUAGUCUUGCCACUGACUUAAUAUUUCUGAACCUAUCAGUCCUAUGAGGUAAGGUAAUUACAAUUAUAGGAAUAUCUUUUUGAAAACACAGAUAACUUUAGAAGAGCUAGCACACUACAAAACUCCUGGAACUUACCUAACACUUCAGAGUUUAUGUUUGCAUUUAUUUAAUUUUGAAUCAGGAAAACAAAUACCUCUAAUCACUUAUAUUGAAAUCAAAUGAAUCAUCUUUCUGAUUUUGUUUUUCUGCAGCUAAAUGUUUCCUUCUCUUUCAGUUUGUCAAAUCUACGCAGUUGUGGACAAGAUUCCUUCUGAUAAUCCUGCUACUCAGACUAUUGAACAGUCUCCUGAAGGAGCUGAAAUUUAUAAAUUAUUCAUUGGCGCUUGAUAGAAAACUCAGAGACGGUCCAUUGGAGAGCAAAAGACAAUCACAGUUCAGCUGCUUCAUGUGCUUACAGAAAAGGUGCAUUUUACAUCAACCAACAAAACGCCUACUGAAGAAAGGCUGAAUUCAUGCUGUCAUAGGAAUGAAGAUCUACCAUAUCUUAUUUAAACCAUAAAUUUUGUGUGGGAUUAGGCGAACACCAAAGUGAAGAAUAAAUGAACUAUACCAUAAGUUCCACAUUAUCAAAGACUUAUUUAUCAUUGGAAGGUAUUCAAAUGUCACUUUGCAACCACUCAUUGUUUCAAGAAUACCUUUGCUAGAGAUUUCAGCCUCUCCUUGCACAACUUUUAGGUCAGGGAAUAAUUCAUUCUCUCCUGGGCUAGCCAAUGCUAUCUUUAAGUGAUUUUAUUAAAAUAUUUUGUCAUUAUCUGUUACCUUGAAAUUUCUGUUCACAAUGUAAUUGUUAUUUCCUAUAACUACACAUUUAUUAAUUUUGUCCACAUGAAAAGCUUUCCAAUGGAAUAAGGCUUAUAACUUCUUGUCUAUCAAGGCUAAGUGCCAUUGCUUUUCAAUUGUUUCUCUAUGUGAUGACAGGAAACCGCACUAUUAUUGUUUUGCUG